rnacentral:RNase_P_RNA from 1 species
GUGAGCUAGGAUGCUGACUUUCGGCGCUCCUGAAAGGGAGAACGCUAACGAGCGUUGCUGAGGAAGGUCCGGGCACCCUUGCCGCGCACUCAGAAGCGAGGCAUGUCAUGCGAGCUGCGAAAGCAGUCUGCUGUGAGGCAGGGCUCCGGAACAGAAACGCCACAGCUCUCCUCGAGAAAUGCUCCAUGCGGGAAUCGAUGAAAGGAGAGAUUUGAUGAAACGGCCGACCUCGCUGGUGCAAGUGCCGUUGCCGCACGCUAAGACAGAUGUCAGCGCGCACUUUCAAUGUGCGACAAAACCCGGCCUAUCCUAGCUCGU